AGAUCUGUAAGCUCAAAAAUGGUAGAGCGCUCAAGCUUUUUGGGCUUUUGAGAGGAUGGUGGUUCGAAUCCACCCAGAUCUA
rnacentral:tRNA from 1 species